rnacentral:misc_RNA from 1 species
GAUGAAGAACGCAGCAAAAUGCGAUACUUGGUGUGAAUUGCAGAAUCCCGUGAACCAUCGAGUUUUUGAACGCAAGUUGCGCCCGAAGCCUUUUGGCCGAGGGCACGUCUGCCUGGGCGUCACGCAUCGCGUCGCCCCCCACAAUUCUCCGUAAAGGGAACAUGUGUUUUGGGGGCGGAUAUUGGUCUCCCGUGCUCAUGGCGUGGUUGGCCGAAAUAGGAGUCCUUUCGAUGGACGCACGAACUAGUGGUGGUCGUAAAAACCCUCGUCGUUUGUUUCGUGCUGUUGCUCGCAAGGUAAACUCUUUAAAAACCCCAAUGUGUCGUCUCUUGACGACGCUUCGACCGCGACCCCAGGUCAGGCGGGACUACCCGCUGAGUUUAAGCAUAUCAAUAAGCGGAGA